rnacentral:rRNA from 1 species
AGAGUUUGAUCCUGGCUCAGAACGAACGCUGGCGGCAUGCCUAAUACAUGCAAGUCGAACGCGUCUAGCAAUAGACGAGUGGCGGACGGGUGAGUAACGCGUGGGAACCUGCCCUUGAGUGCGGGAUAACCGAGGGAAACUUCGGCUAAUACCGCAUGCGCCCCGAGCAAUCGGGGGAAAGAUUUAUCGCUCGAGGAGGG